rnacentral:tRNA from 1 species
UCCCUGAUGGUUCAGUGGUUAGGACGCUGCAUUUUCACUGUGAGGGCCCAGGUUCAAUCCCUGGUCAGGGAA